AUACCUACCUGCCAGGCUAGAUACCAUGAUAAGCAAAAAGAUGGUUUUCUCAAGGUCGGGCUUAUUCAUUGCACUCCAGAUGGCUAACUUCUGUGAUUUUUCCGAAAUGUGGAAAACUCAACUGCAGAAUUUUUGAUAGUGGGAUCUGAGUUUGUGCUUAUCCCUG